GUCCUUGUCGAUUAGUGGUUAAAUCAUCUCGUUGUGGCGCACAGCAGCUCCGAGAAGCCGGAAGUUCGAAUCCUCCCUGGGACA